AGAUGUGAGAGCGAGCUGGCUGCGACACCUGUCGCCUCAUUGAUCACCAGGGUUGAUUCGGCUGAUCUGGCUGGCUAGAGGGGUAUCCCCUUCCUCCCUCACCUCUCCAUUUGUGAUUCUCCCGAAGCUGCGCUCUCGGUCGAAGAGGACGACCUUCCCCAUACAUGAGGACUGUUCUUCGGUCAAGGGUAUAUGAGUAGCUGCGCUCCCCUGCUAGAACCUUCAAACAAGCUUUCAAGACUCUUAACCAUUCAUUCAUUUUAACUAACAAAAACUUAGAAUAUGGCAAAAAUUUUGAUGAAUGCUGAACAUACUAUGUUACAUUAAAAUAGAAUUAGCUCCUGCAUU
rnacentral:snRNA from 1 species